CACAACUAUGACUCUUUGGCCCCGCCCCUACGGACGCAUGCUUGGAAGACAUGCGCUUUGCGGCAAAGUCCUCCUUUUCUCCACACACGCUUCUAAGCCUCGGCACAUCUCCUCACAUUGCUACUAACUACACUUUAUUCAUCCUCCGUGUCAGGAUAAACUCCACUCGUCUAAGCCACAUUUGGAGAUUAUUAGGCCUGCUUAGCUUGAUAGUUGUUUGAGCGCGCCAAUUAGCUUAGCAUGCUAGUUAGCUUAGCAUGUUAGCCGCUAACAAAGAGACGCGGAUUUGAUCAACACAUCGCUUAGUUAAGAUCAAGUGUGAGUGUAAAGUGUUGUGAUUGUGUGAAAAUGUGCGAAUGAACGAUAGCAAAGUAUGAGGAAUAACUUUGUUGUGUGAAAAUGUGUGAAAGAACGAUAGCAGAGUACAAAGAGGAACUUUCUCGGACAAAAGAAGAGAACGAGAGACUACGUCAACUAUUGGAAGCUGUUUUCAAGAAACCUCAAGUUGUGUUACACAGAACAGAACUCAAUAAAGGACAUCUUCCUCAUGAGCAGGAAGAAGAGCCACAGCCCCACCACAUUAAAGAGGAAAAAGAUGUACCGCAUUCCCAACACAUUAAAGAGGGAGUAGAGGACCCACAGCCCCCCACAAUAAAGCGAAACAUGAGACGCCACAGACCCAUAAUGUUAAACUGACCCUUCACAAUAAAAGGCAAGCGGAGGACCCACUGAUCUUACACAUCAAAAAGGAAGAGGAGGAUCCACUUACCCCUCACUUUAAGGAGCAAGAGAACCCGCUGACACCUCACAUUAAAAAGGAAGAGGAGGAUCCACUGACCCCUCACUUUAAGGAGCAAGAGGAGGACCAAGAGCCGCCGCACAUUAGAGAGGAAGAGGAGGAAGAGGGCAUCAGUCAGCCUAAAUGGUUGGAGGAGUUCCCAGUGACUGGUGUCCCUGUGAAGAGUGAAGAUGAUGAGGUGAAAGGUGAAAGUGAGGAGAGGGGAGGGGGGGAGCCUCCAAGCAGCAGCUCAACACAACACAUGACAACAGAAGCUGAUGGAGACCACUGUGGAGGAUCACAAGCAGACAAGCUCUUAGCUCCACUAUCAGAUAGUGAGGACACAACGUCACACUCUCCUGACACUGAUGAUGAAGACUCUAAAGAUGAUAAGACAUGUCACACUGACAACACUCACUUCACAUGUUCUCACUCUCACAAAACCUUUAAAUACCAAAGUCGUCUGAAAAGACACAUGAGAACACACACUGGAGAAAAACCUUUUUCUUGUUCACUCUGCAGUAAAGGUUUUAGACAAAGUAUCAAUUUGAAAGUACACAUGAGAACACACACUGGUGAAAAACGUUUUUCCUGUUCAACCUGUGGUAAAGGUUUUACACAAAGUCAGAGUUUGAAAAGACAUAUUAGAACACACACUAGAGAAAAACCUUUUUCUUGUUCACUCUGUAGUAAAGGUUUUACACAAAGUAUCAAUUUGAAGGUACACAUGAGAACACACACCGGUGAAAAACCUUUUUCCUGUUCAAUCUGUGGUAAAGGUUUUAGAGAAAGUCAACAUUUGAAAAGACACAAGAGAACACACACUGGUGAAAAACCUUUUUCCUGUUCUACCUGUGGUAAAGGUUUUGUUGAAAGUCAGAGUUUGAAAGUACACAUGAGAACACACAAUGGUGAAAAACCUUUUUCUUGUUCAAUCUGUGGUAAAGGUUUUUGCACAAAAUCAGAGUUUGAAAAGACACAUGAGAACACACACUGGAGAAAAACCUUUUUCCUGUUCAAUCUGUGGUAAAGGCUUUGUUAAAAGUCAGGGUUUGAAAGUACACAUGAGAACACACAUUGGUGAAAAACCUUUCUCCUGUUCAAUCUGUGGUAAAUGCUUUGCACAAAGUCAACAUUUGAAAAGACACAACAGAACACACAGUGGUGAAAAAUCACAUUCCUGCUGAAUCUGCAACAGAAGCUUUUGUUGACGAUCAAAGCUUGUAAGACACAUGAGAAGACACCCAGGAGAGAAAGUGUUGAGUUGCAGUGUGUGUGGUGAAAGAUUGUCUUCUAAGUACCAGUGUAAGAAACACAAGUGUGCUGGUGAGAACAGCAGCAGCAAAUGAAACUGCAGGAUUUGAAAUAAACUGUCCAGACUUUCAUUUUGACUUUCUAACAACAUCAGCACAUAUAACAUGUGUGACAAUGUUGUUUGUCUAACAAUCUGUUUAAUAUGAUCUUUACAUUUAUAGAUUAGACAUUUUAUAGUAAUGCUUUUUUCAGUCAAGUACAUGCAUUAAUAUGCAACAUUGUGUACUUUUGUUAAAAAAUGGACAGAACAAUUUGAGUAAAAAAGUGAGAGUAAACAGUAAAAUACAUAUUUUACAUGCAAUAAACAUGUGUGUAUGUAUACACAUACACACACACUCUCUCUCUCUCUCUAUAUGUAUAUAUAUAUAUAUAUAUAUAUAUAUAUAUAUACUGUAUAUUCAUCAUACAAUUUUAGACCUAUUUAUAUGAAAUAUUGAAGUAUUACAUAUUUGUAUUUGUAAUUGUUAAUAACCCCAUAGAUUGUCACCUUUAUAUGAUAUACAUAUGUACUGGUUCACAUCUGAAACAUCUUCUGGACCACUUCAGGAAGCAUAUUAUUAUUUACUUCAUACAUCAUUUGAACAGUUGUCUUUUAUACAAUUUUAAAAUAUGUGUCUCUUUGAAUCAUUUGUUGGGUCUCUAUAAUCUAUUUUAUUCAUUACCGUUAUUACUCUGUAUUAUGAUGAUUGUGUUGUGAUUAUUUUAUAUGUAUGUCCCCAGACCUUUAUGCAAUAUACAAGUGAGAGAAAAUGGCUGAGUUUUUGUGGAAGGAUGGGGUUGUUUUUACAAACUUACAUUUGUGGAUAAAUCAAAUAAAUCCAGUAUUGUGUUUUAAA